AGAAUUAAUCAUCGCAGAUGUCACUCCAGAUGCUAUUCCAGAUGUUGACUUGUUCACUUUACAACAUCAAACUUUCAAUCACUUUUAAUGUCAACAAGGAGCAGCCAUUUUGAUUGGAGCCAUAUCGUAGUAGCCUCGUUUUCAAGUUGGAUAGCAACUAAGAAACAGCUUGAUGUAUUAGAGAAGAGCCGAUGGUGUGAGAAAGCAUAAAGAUUAAAGUUCUAGUUGAGAAAAAGUUAGCUGACAUGGAGGACUGGAAGCCAUCUGAAUAUUGGAAAAGAGUUACUUGUUUCAUGAGGAUUCGUGUCAAAAUGCCAAUAUCACGACUGCUGCUCAAAGCUCUGUGAACACUAAAGGAUGUAAGACAGGCUAUGGACAGUUGCAACAAAGACUAUGAAGCCGUGGUCAGCAGCAAGGGCCGCAGCAGGCGUUCCAACUGCGUCUGCACAGUGGAAUUCAUUUAACACCUGAUGAACAGGUCUUUAGGCUCAAUUCAGACGGUUAUGUGAAACUGCUGGAGACUGUGCUCAAUCCAGGGUUGCUACUAGAGGUUCAUUUGUGUAACGAGAUUCGGCUCCUUAGCACGCCUCUGUAGUCAGGAGUAGUUGUCGGUGAAUUUUUACGAUUUCACCAACCCCCAAUGUUUGGCCUUCUAAUUCCCUCAAUUGUAAUCUCGUGGAUUACUAUGUGUAGGUCACAAUUAACAAAGACACUAACCGCCCUGCCUGCAACACCAAGGCCGAGCUAGUGGUCAAGGUCAAGGAGGUGUUUGAAGAUCUUCCCAGGGACACGGUGAGGAACGCACACACCUAGUUCCAAAGCUGUCUUGAGGCCGUGGUGGAAGAUGACGGCAGCUACUUUGAGUAAACCGUUACCCCUAACCAUAACCUAGUUACCUAGUUGGUAGUUUUUGAUUUUUUUUUAAUACUUUUAUUUUUAGAUGGGAUAUUGUGUUUUCUUUCUUCAUGCUGUCAAAUUUAGUCAGAGCACUCUGUACACACACAUGCGCAC